rnacentral:lncRNA from 1 species
UAGUCCUGGACUGAGCUUCAGAAGAUCUCAGAUCACUGACGUUCUGUCUAGAAGAAUACUCCAAGAUAUAUUUCUAAGUAAUAUUCCUUCUCUUGUUGGGGGAAAUUAGAGAAGAUUUCUACCUGGUGCCAUAUCAACUCAAGGAUGGAGUCAAAUACUGAGAGGCUCUGUCAUCUGUCUUUGGAUCUCCUUCGGUGAAAAUUCUAACAAGGAGCAAACAGCAAAGAACUGAAAUGCUAUACAGACUCCAGUGAGAAAAAACUGAGGUAAUUGGUUUCGGUGUGCUGGUGCUUGAAACUCUAUCCCAGUGCUUCCUUCAACUAAGGCUGCAAAUUGAAAAUGUGAAGAACCUUGCCUGCUUGAACCAGCCUGGGCUUGUGGCAGCAUCAUUCUGUCACUUAAUUCUUCUCACAGAGAUCACAUAGCUUUGCUUCCAUACCUAAAUUACUACAAAUUUGUGUCCGCUUGAAUGUUAUGUAAUUUAACCAGAAAUUGAAGAAAUACCACCAUUUUAAAGAAAAUAUGGUCAUAAACACUAUGGAAUACUAUGCAACCAUAACAAGAAUGAAAUCAUGUCCUUUGCAGCAACAUGGAUGUAGCUGGAGGCCAUUAUCCUGGGCAAAUUUGCAGGAGCAGAAAACCAGAUACCACAUCUCACAGUGAAAAAGGGAGGCAGAGGAUACAGAGAAGUAGAUGUGACUAUGGAAGCAGAGAUCAGAGUGAUGAAACUGCUAGCUGGAGCCACGUGCCAAGGAAUGGAAGCAGCCCCUAGAAGCUGGAAAAGGUGAAGAAAUGCAGUCUCCCAAAGAGCUUCCAGAAGGAAUCCAUGCCUGCCAAUGCAUUGAUUUUGGUCUCAUGAAACGUAUUUAAGACAUAUGAUCUCUAGAGUUCUGAUAAACUUGUAUUGGUUUAAGCCACUAUGUUUGUGGUCAUUUGUUACAGCAGCAAAAGGAAAUUAAUACAUUAGUGUUGUAUAAUUUUAAUAUAUAAUUUCUGUAAAUGUUUUGUUAGAUUUAUACCUACAUUUUUAUUUUUGAGGGAUUAUAAUUGUAUUUUAAGUGUUGGGGUUCAUGUGUUUAUUGCAAAUAUGUAGAAUUAAAAUUAAUUUUUGCAUAUUUUUUGUCCUAUGACCUUGCUGAUUAGUUAUUAGUUGUUAGUUUGUACAAGAUUUUUGUAGAUUCAUUGGAAUUUUCUAUGUAGAAGACAAUUGUGCCUUCCGCAAAUGGGAUGAUUUUAUAUAUUACAUCCUGAUCUGUAGUCUUUCAGCUUUCUUUAUCUUGCCCUAUUGUACUUACCAGAACUUCCAGCACUAAGUUGACUAAAAGUGGUGAGAAUUAACAUCCUGUUUCUGUACCUGAUCUUGAGGAGAAAGUAUCAAUUCUCCCCAGUCAGUAUAAUGUUAGUUGCAGCUUUUCAGCUGAUGCUUUGUAUCAAGGUGAGAAAAUGUGAGUGCAUAAAGAAAAGGCCACGUGAGGACACAGCAAGAAAGUGGUCAUCUGCAAGCGCAAAAGACAGGCCUCAGAAGAACCCAACCCUAUUGACACUAUGAUCUUGGACAUCCAGCCUCCAGAACGCCUAGGAGCAGAGAAGAAACCAUAUUUACUCAUCAUCAGCAAAUAAUUCAGAUUAAAAUUUCAGUAUAAAAGACUUUUGUUUCUUAGAGAAAGUUAAAAUAAUCCCAUCAUGCUCAACAAAUGCAGCAUUUCUAUUGUUCACACAAAUUUCUGAUCACCAUGGCAGACGUUUCUGCUUACCUACUCAACGUCUAUUUCCCAUUCAGUUUUUGUAAUAUAACCUGAUUUUCAGUGAGGCUGUACGUAGCCAGCUGCAAAUUGCAUUUCCUAACCUCCUUUGCAGGUAGAAGUGGCCAUGUGAUCAUUCUGGCCAAUGAAACAAAAGUGGAAGUUUCUGGGAGAGACUUCAAGGAAAACUCUUUAAAAGAGACUCAAUUCCAUUGCCGUUAACAAACCAUCUGUAUGCCUAAUAUUGAUGCUGUCUUUCCCUAGUGUACUGGACAACCUAAGACAGGGAAAUAAAGAUAAAGUUUGGAUUGAAGAGUGAGGAGCCAAAAUAAUGCAGCUUCACAUCUCCUUAAUGGACAGAAGACUACACUGUUUUUGCUGCACCCAGAGAUAAAAUUAUUGGUUUUGGAGUACCUUCACUGAUGCCAGGGGUGUCAUCUUUACCUUCCAUCACAUAAUAUAUAUAAAGAGAAUUUUUCUUAGCUUUAAAUGAGUUGAUAAGAGGACAAGAAGAAAGUCAAGGACUCCAUUUCCAGGAUUAAAAGCGGUUUUUUCCUUUGUCUUCCAAAUCCUAGCAGUAGAAGCAUUUGAGUUCUGCAGAAAUUACUGAAGUGGUUCAAGUGUGGGCAGUCAGGACACUCAGCCCACCAUACUCAACCCCAACUCAACCUCAACUCUCAGUACGGCAGAGAGACGGAGAACUCAGAGCUAUAACUUUCAGGAAUUCUCAAAACCUCAGACAAAAUGCAUCUUUGUUUUACCACCUGUUAAAGUAUAUCCUCAUCUGCCUCAGUGCACAUAAGUAUACAACACUGCAGAUUGUGUUUAACUUCAUUUGCAAUUAAUUUAACGCAUUUUGUAUCCAACAUUUCUACUAGGAAAUAGUAUUAGUCUAUCCCCAAACUAAAAUUCACUGCAAAAAUGUAAUUCACUCAAGAAAAAUAAUGAUAAUUCUUCAAACACCUUGAGAUGUCAUUCAACAAUCAUACCCAAUGGGUAAAAUUUAGAGUUCAACAUUUAGCUUGCAUUUCUUUCUAACCAAACAUCUCAAGUUCAAAAAAUAAAGCAGAUUGUUUUGUGCAUUUGUUAUCACUACCACAUCAAUGGUCACCUACACUUCCUGAGCCCCAAAUAGAACUCUCAGAGAAGCAUUGUGUAUUUGUCAAUAUCCUGGAGUUUCAAAACUCCCAAGUGUUGCCACCAUUUGACCUGAAAUUUCCUCUCUUCUCAGAUUCCUGCCUCUAAACACAAAACAAACAAACCUUUACUUAACUUAGCUCAUGUGUGAAUUUUUAGGGUCAUUUGUUUCAUAUCCAGAAAGACUUCAAGUCUCUUUGCUAAAUUUUGAUUUACCUAAGGCCAGUAGCCUGAAUUCAACUUUAGCAGUCCCAGGGCUCAGUAGAUUUGCCCUGUAGAUUCUGUAAUUGGAUAUUUAUGUUCCAUGUAUUUCUUCUUUCAGAGCAUAGCAGAAGUAUAGGGAUAACACCUUAGCUGAAUGUUGGCCCUAAAAUAGCUGCUCAUUUGUAGCACUCAGACGAAGCUGAAAUUAUUCACAUUCAGCCGACAUUUCCGUUAGGUGAGAUGCUGCCUGCUAAUUCACAUUUGCCUGGGAUUGCUCCUCAGAGUUCAGAUUUAAUUUUGAUAACAUCAACUCUAUCAUUUAAUAAAUAAUAAGCAGUAAAAAAUUAAGCCUAUUGUUAUUGGGCAUUUUGAAUGAAAGAAAAGCAGUAUGGCAUAUUAGGUUUAAGGGUUCCUCAAUAUCUUAAUCUAUAUUGCCUUCGGAAAGAAGCAAUCCUUAGAUAAAAAAAUAAAAUACUUUAAAAUUUCUCUCCAUUUCAUUAGUGCAUGAGACUGAGACAGGUAUUGUCACUCUUGCCACUGACUCAGUGACAUGUCAGAAACAAUGAAGUCUUAAAUAUAUUGCUCAAAAUUUCAACUGCCUAUAUAUAGCAUAAAAUUAAUUGCAUUUAGAAAAAAAAGUUCUGUUCUCUUAGCAAUUUUCAGGUAGAUCCUAAAUGUUCUCGACACAAAAAGAUUCAUAUGUGAGGUGAUAGAUAUUAUGAUUAGUUUGAUUUAAUCAUUUCACAAUGUAUAAAAAUAUCAAAACAACAUGUACAUCAUAAAUAUAUAGACUUUAAAAUUUUUCAAUUAUACCUUAAUAAAGCU